CCCAAGGUCAGUCAGCUUCAUGGGGUUCAGCCAUCAGCUAACUGAGAUCAGGGGUCUUGCAUCCUCGCUCUGUCUGAGCCAUUAAAUGCUUCCAGCCUCACCUCUUCUGUCCAAUGAUGACUGCUCACAGAUGAAAGACACACACAUGAGCAGGAAGACGUUUUUAUGGGAAAGUGUUCCAGAAUGGAAAGGAAUUGCUACAAGACAGGAUGAUGUGGUCGAAAUUCAAACUUCUGAGUGUCAAGUGUUUUUAACUGACAAGUUGGAAUUGGAGCUCUAUUCCUCCUUUCCAGUUUUAGAACUAGUGGUUUUUGCACAUGCCUUGAUAAAGCUCACAUGGAUUCCAAGGCUCUUGGUUCCUGUCAUUGUGGUGUUUGAAGAAACCAUCUGGGAAAGACAUAGCCAUGGUUAGUUUGCAUGUAACAGUAACAACGGGAGUAAGGAAGCAUGACUACAAGAGAACACCCCCAAGGAUAUUAAGAAGACAGAGUAUGGAGUCAAAAGGAUUUUACCGAAAGUGACUCAAAAAAUAAAUAAUUAAAAAAAUAAAGCCUUUGUCAAAGACAUAUGUACAGCUUUCCUAAUCCGACACUGCCUUGCACUACACAAGUUGUAACACCCGCACCAUAUUAAUGUCACCUUUGAUGAUCUUUCCAUCUGUAAAUUGAAGUCACGGGAGAUCUAACUUUGAAUCCCAGCAUUGCCUCUGCUCCUUUGUACAAUGUUGUGUUUCAGCUCUCUGACGCUGAGCCCCCUGUGUGGGAAAAGGAGGUGGGAGGGAGAGUUUGGAACAGAUCAAGAGAUCUCGGCUGUGUUUGUGAAGGACGAGGUAAAAAAGAUGUCAUAUUUUGUAAUAACCAGGGAAUUUUUAAAUGUAUUCACAUCAGGGACAUCAGGACUCUCAGAAGUUCUGAUUUAGGAUCACCCGGCGGCGUGCGCAUGAGCUCCCGGCCUGCGCGGGAGCUCCCGGCCUGCGCGACAACAGACCAGGAAGGCCCCAAAGACCCUGGAGGGGGUUUCUUCAGCUGCCUGUCUGCCUGCCUGCCUGCGAUCACCCAGCGGCAUGCGUGC
rnacentral:lncRNA from 1 species